GACGAACGCUGGCGGCGUGCUUAACACAUGCAAGUCGAACGGAAAGGCCCUGCUUUUGUGGGGUGCUCGAGUGGCGAACGGGUGAGUAACACGUGAGUAACCUGCCCUUGACUUUGGGAUAACUUCAGGAAACUGGGGCUAAUACCGGAUAGGAGCUCCUGCUGCAUGGUGGGGGUUGGAAAGUUUCGGCGGUUGGGGCUGGACUCGCGGCUUAUCCGCUUGUUGGUGGGGUAGUGGCUUACCAAGGCUUUGACGGGUAGCCGGCCUGAGAGGGUGACCGGCCACAUGGGGACUGAGAUACGGCCCAGACUCAUACGGGAGGAAGCGGUGGGGAAUAUGGCACAAUGGGCGGAGGCCUGAUGGAGCAACGCCGCGUGCGGGAUGACGGCCUUCGGGUUGUAAACAGCUUUCGCCUGUGACGAAGCGUGAGUGACGGUAAUGGGUAAAGAAGCACCGGCUAACUACGU
rnacentral:rRNA from 1 species